rnacentral:rRNA from 1 species
UGCUUGCACCUGAUGGCGAGUGGCGACGGGUAGAGUAAUGCAUCGGAACGUACCGGAAGUGGGGAUAACGUAGCGAAAGUUACGCUAAUACCGCAUAUUCUGUGAGCAGGAAAGCGGGGGAUCGCAAGACCUCGCGCUUCCGGAGCGGCCGAUGUCGGAUUAGCUAGUUGGCGGGGUAAAGGCCCACCAAGGCAACGAUCCGUAGCGGGGUCUGAGAGGAUGAUCCGCCACACUGGGACUGAGACACGGCCCAGACUCCUACGGGAGGCAGCAGUGGGGAAUUUUGGACAAUGGGGGCAACCCUGAUCCAGCCAUGCCGCGUGAGUGAAGAAGGCCUUCGGGUUGUAAAGCUCUUUCGGCUGGGAAGAAAUCGCAUCUCCUAAUACGGGGUGUGGAUGACGGUACCAGCAUAAGAAGCACCGGCUAACUACGUGCCAGCAGCCGCGGUAAUACGUAGGGUGCGAGCGUUAAUCGGAAUUACUGGGC